rnacentral:rRNA from 1 species
CGUGAAUGAUGAAGGUCUUCGGAUUGUAAAAUUCUGUGGUAAGAGAAGAAAGAUAUAAAGAGGAAAUGCUUUGUAUUUGACGGUAUCUUGCUAGAAAGCCACGGCUAACUACGUGCCAGCAGCCGCGGUAAUACGUAGGUGGCAAGCGUUAUCCGGAAUUACUGGGCGUAAAGAGUGAGCAGGCGGUUAGAUAAGUCUAUGGUUAAAUGCAACAGCUCAACUGUUGUUCGCUAUAGAAACUAUUUAACUAGAGUGCGGGAGAGGUAAGUGGAACUCCAUAUGUAGCGGUGGAAUGCUUAGAUAUAUGGAAGAACACCAGAGGCGAAGGCGGCUUACCAGUCCGUAACUGACGCUCAGUCACGAAAGCGUGGGGAGCAAAUAGGAUUAGAUAUCCUAGUAGUCCACGCCGUAAACGAUGAGAACCUGAUGCAGGAGAUAUUCUGUGUCGAAGCUAACGCGUUAAGUUCUCCGCCUGGGUACUACGUUCGCAAGAAUAAAACUUAAAGGAAUUGACGGGCGCCCGCACAAGCAGUGGAGCAUGGGGUUUAAUUCGUCGAUACACGAAAAACCUUACCAGGGCUUGACAUCCCGCUAAAAGCCUUAGAAAUAAGGAAAUAGUUAUAGCGGUGACAGGUGGUGCAUGGUUGUCGUCAGCUCGUGCCGUGAGGUGUUAGGUUAAGUCCUCAAACGAGCGCAACCCUUGUCUUUAGUUGCCAUUAUUAAUUUAGGAACUCUAGAGAGACUGCCGGCGCAAGCCGGAGGAAGGCGGGGAUGACGUCAAAUCAUCAUGCCCUUUAUGCCCUGGGCCACACCCGUGCUACAAUGGUCGGUACAAAGAGAAGCAACACUGUGAGGUGAAGCAAAUCCCAUAAAGCCGAUCUCAAUUCGGAUUGAAGUCUGCAACUCGACUUCAUGAAGCUGGAAUUGCUAGUAAUCGCAGAUCAGCAACGCUGCGGUGAAUACGUUCUCGGGCGUUGUACACACUGCCCGUCACACCAUGAGAGCCGGUAAUACUCGAAGUCGUUAGCCUAACCGUAAGGAGGGCGGCGCCUAAGGUAGGACUGGUGAUUGGGGUUAAGUCGUAACAAGGUAUCCCUACGAGAACGUGGGGAUG